rnacentral:rRNA from 1 species
UACGAAGGGGGCUAGCGUUACUCGGAAUUACUGGGCGUAAAGGGCGCGUAGGCGGCGUUCCAAGUUAGGCGUGAAAGUCCUGGGCUCAACCUGGGAACUGCGCUUAAGACUGGAGUGCUUGAGGAUGGAAGAGGGUCGUGGAAUUCCCAGUGUAGAGGUGAAAUUCGUAGAUAUUGGGAAGAACACCGGUGGCGAAGGCGGCGACCUGGUCCAUUUCUGACGCUGAGGCGCGAUAGCGUGGGGAGCAAACAGG